GCCAAAGCUUUCUGCGCAGGAAGAAGCUUGUAGCCUUCAGGGAACGUGAGACAGGUGCUGCAUGGCUGUCGUCAGCCAGAGUAGUGAAAUGUUGGGUUAAGUCCCGCAACGAGCGCAACCCUUAUCCUUAUUUGCCAGCACGUAAUGGUGGGAACUCUAGGGAGACCGCCGGUGAUAAACCGGAGGAAGGUGGGGACGACGUCAAGUCAUCAUGGCCCUUACGAGUAGGGCUACACACGUGCUACAAUGGCGAGUACAGAGGGUUGCAAAGCCGCGAGGGGGAGCUAAUCUCACAAACCUCGUCUUAGUCCGGAUUGGAGUCUGCAACUCGACUCCAUGAAGUCGGAAUCGCUAGUAAUCGUGGAUCAGAAUGCCUCGGGGGAUACCUUCCCGGGUCUUGGACCCACCGAA
rnacentral:rRNA from 1 species